rnacentral:sRNA from 1 species
UAUCCUGCCCACGCGGGAAGGAUGAGAAGCUUCGACCAAGGUUCGAUUCGAGCGUAGCGAGAAAGCGUUGCCGCAGGCAACGACCCGAAGGGCGAGGAGCUACGCGACGAGUAAUCCUUCCCCCAUAAAGC